UUGAGCCGGAUGCGGGGCGACUCGCACGUCCGGUUUUUGGGGGCGGUGGCGCAGCAAUGCGUUGCCGCUACCCGAC
rnacentral:ncRNA from 2 species